GACAGUGCUAUUUUUGGAUGAGCUUCAGAAACUCCUAUGCAGUGACAUGUUCAUACAUCAUUCCCUUCAACUUUAAUGUUGCUCAUGCAAUAAAGAUGGCAGUGAAAUAUUUAAAAAUCGGAAUUGCGCUAUUAAUUAUUUACUGUCUUCAUUUAAGUGAAAACACACAUCUUGAAUGGACAGAACACUCAAGGAAACAUGGUGAACCAUGCGUUAAUCAUGACCAAUGCAUAGACUUUCGAAUGAUUUGCUCUGAAACAGAGUUUGUUUGUCAAUGUGAUCAAUUUCAUGACUGGACAGAGCUUAACGCAUAUACAUCAGAAUGUGUUCCUAAUCCGCAGCGUCUCCGCUCUUUUUUAUCGGAAAACCAUGAAACUAAGGGUGUUGAAGAUAACAAGUCUAUAAAAACAAAAGCUGUUUAACAACAUGACAUACUCAUGGCAGCAUGGAUGAAGGAAAAGAUCCAUCAAAACAAGUAAACACAAGACCUGAAUCAUCAAAUUCUGAAGAAACUCUGAACAAAAUAGCACAACUUGAAGAAAAACUUAAAGCGUUGUAUGAUUUUGGUGAGCAAUCACAAAAAAUUCGAGAAACUCGUAGAAAGUUAAUUGAAAAUCUGAUGAAUUUUACUGGCGCAAAAACAACAAAGUCAACAACCGUAGUAGAAAAACGGGUGAGAUUUUCUGGUGAACAAGACUUUGUUAGGAAAAAAGAAUUGCAGCGAGAGCUAAGUAGACAAGAUUCUUAUCCACAGAUCCUGAACAAGACCAAAUCUGUACGUGAUCUAAUGUUUCAUCUUCAUACUUGGCAUGGAGAGAUAAGAAAAAGAAAGGACCAAAUAGAAAUGUUAAAAACCAAAAG
rnacentral:misc_RNA from 1 species